AUCUGGGGAGGAACAGAACAAAACAGAAGGAGUAGCAUCACUUUGGGUGCGGGAGGACCCUAGGUCUGCGCCCCGGGUGACUGCGUCCUUUCUAACCUUCCGAGCAUCUUCUCCCUACUCUCCCCCCUGGGUCCCAGAGACCUGUUCUGAACUAAGUAAUGUCCUGUCUGAUCUUUGGUUCAUCCCAGAAACCUGGUCCCAGGGUGUGUGAGCCUCUCUUUCUCCCCUCAGAUUUUCCUAGCCCGGUGCCAAGAGAGGACCUGACAGCCAGGAGCGGGGUCGCACCCGCUGCGUGGCGCUGGCACUGUGGCCUGCGCCAACAGAUUGCUCACCCUCCUCCGGGAAAGCUAAGAAAACAGCACUAAGCCUUGCAAGCUGCGGCCCAUUAAUGCCUCUUAGCUAGCAAGAUGGGCGACUUGCUCUGAGCCAGGCCCUCCCCCUCCCUGGCUUCUCACAUUCUCCUCCCCCUCGCCCCUUCUGUUUCCCUCCUCUCCGCGCCGCGGUCCUCUCGCCUUCGCUUUGCUUCUCUCCCUCCACCCAGCCCCCACACCUUCCUUUUGUUUCCAGUUUCUCUUCACCCUCCCCACUUUUCUUUUCCCCUACCCUCCGUUUCCCCCUCUUCCUUUCCUCGUUUCCCCCACUUGCUUCGGGUCGUCCCAGGCCACCCCGCCUUUCAACCGUCCUAGCGCUCCAAAGGCGUCGGGAGCCCCCGCCUCCUCGCCUCUCCUCUCGGUUCCCUGGUCGGUCGGAAGAGAGGAGCCGCAUAUGCACAAAACAUGACAUGGAAAAUGGGCACUUCAACCUCUGGGAACAAAGACUCCUUCCUGCUUUGGCUUUACUGCAAGGGCAUUUUAUGGGAAUGGUUGAAUAUAGCUGUUUUUUUGUUUGUUUGUUUGUUUGUUUGUUUUUUGUUUUUCCCCAAAAGGAAAACAAAAUGUAUGUUGCAGGAGAUGGGAACAUUUCUAAGACCUGCAGCAGCUAGGAUGCGGAGGUCCAUUUGGGGGCUUUCCUUGUCACCUCACCUACUGCCAGCUGUGGGCCUUCUAGUCUACUACUGAGAAAACACUACCCAGUCUGGCACUGAAGGCCUCUUCUCUCUGGGAUCUGUAGUUUCCCCUGUCUGUUGAGAUAGUAGAUAUGGGAAGGGGAGGGGGGCGGGAGCAAGGAGGUUGGCUACUCAAAACCUGAGAAUGGACUAGCAAAGCCUUGCCAAUGCCGUCCAAGCCCCCAAAUCACUGACACACAAUAUGGUUUCAGACUUUCUCUAAGAAACAGGGAGACCCUCCCUCCCUUCCUGAACGUGGCCUCUAUUUUGGUCUGUUUUGGAGGGGCUUUGCCUUUAACUAAAUGUAGCAUCACCCCAAUUCUCCUUAAACCAGAAUCAACUGUUCAAGAGUCCUAGGCAGGCUGCCCACUCACAAGAAGAAAGAUUGGAGAUUAUCUCAAAGGAAAGAUUUUUGUGGAGCAAGAAACUGCUAAACUGCCACUUUUCCUGGGUCCAAGCCUGUCCUGGUGCAGGCCUGUAAGGGUGGAAAGCUUAUGGUAGUGGAAGAUUCUCUUUCUUAGCCUUCCUCAGGCCACCGAAUCCCCUUAGAUAGUGCAGACUUUAAACCAGGGAACUGAGCCUGAGGGCAGCCUUGGCCAGCAGGCAGAAAGGCACAGAUGCCAACCAGCAGAAUAUUGAGCAAAUGGGGCUGGGGGUCGAGAGGGGAGGAGGUGGGGGUGGGAGGAGAACGAGGACAGAAGAUGAGGGUGGGGAGUGAGUGGCAUGUACUCUGACCUCAGCAGAGCCAGCAGAAGGGAAACCCAGGGUCAGAGAGGACACUUACGUGCACACGGUCUUGAUGUUCGUCUUGUCGUCCAGGCCCUGCGGGUAGUUGGCCAUGCUGUCGCCCAGCUUGAGCAAACAGUCUGAAAAGCCCUUAAAGACUGCAUCACACUUGCCCGCUGCUCUCACGGCCUGCACCAGGUAAGCUGUGGGGAGGAGGGACACCAGUAAGCAUCACCGCCACUCUGCCCCACUACUGACCCUAAGGCUCCUUGGCGUGGUCUCUUUUCUGAUCCAGCACUGUGGCCCAGGAUGACCUAUUUGCAUUCGGUCCACCUCUGGUGCAGAUGGAGGGAUCCGAGGGAGCGUGGGUGGGUGAAGAGGGAUAGCAGGGAGGUGAGUCCAUUUAUUUUUCUCCAGCCCGCUCCCAACUGCUCUCUAUUUCUUUUUCUGUUUUCCUCGCCCCCUCUUCUCACCUCCCUCAUCUCCUUUAUUACCCUUUUUUUCCUCACUCCCUCCUUGUCUCUCAACACUUCCUCCAGCAAAAACCCUGUCACGUCUCGCGGUGCAAUCUUCCAUUUUUGUGGUGGCAGAGGAGGUCUGAGAAACAGUGUGCUGGGGACGAAAACGGGCCUGGGAAAGGUGGGGAGGCUGGGGUUACGCAGCUGAACUAAGCGCCACACCCCCAGAAUAGCCAUCGGGUACCCGGAUCUUUGCCAGGAGCUCAACAAAUAAUUGCUGAAUGAAUGAAUGAAUGAAUGAAUGGUCUUUGGAAGACCACAACGGCCAAGGGAACAGGAUAUUAUUAUUAUUAUUAUUAUUAUUAUUAUUAUUAUUAUUAUUAUUAUUAUUACUGUUAUUUUUAUUCUGAUUGCCCAGCUCGGAGUCUCUUCUUUGUGAAACUCUUAGGUGAAUACUUCCUCUGCACCUCUAAAGAAGGGCAAUAAAUGUCAAGAGACCUAGUUGGGAUGAGGAUUGGUCUCAGUAGCUGUGUGUGUGUGUGUGUGUGUGUGUGUGUGUGUGUGUGUGUGUGUUCCCGCGCGUGUGCGCGCGCGCCCUGUUUUCUCUUUGCUUCUCUGCAUCUCUCACCUUUGCACACCCCUUUUAUAUCUCUGGAAACAGCUAGGUCAGACCUUUCUUCUCAAGGCUGCAGCCAGGCUGCUAGGGGCCCAGCAAGCUGCGGCCUAGAACUUUGGCUCGGACAGGGAUGGGGUGGGGGCUGGAGAUGGCACAAUCUGUGGCAGAGGUGGUGGGGGA